CAACCGGCCCUUUUCAGGGCCACAAGGUAUGCAAAUCUGAUCAGCA
rfam:Cerapachys biroi unplaced genomic scaffold scaffold609, whole genome shotgun sequence.